rnacentral:lncRNA from 1 species
GGGGAGGGUAUGAUGAUGGGGAGGGUAUGCCAGGCUGUCUCUGAACAGAGGAGAGAAAGCAAUGUGGCUGAGACAGGGAACAUUCUUCCAGGGUUGGGAUGGGUCUUAUAAGAGCUGGGGUAGGAUGUAGGGAUGUAGUGGCUAGGGAUUGGGGGAGCUUGUGACAUCACUAGAGGGGCUUGUGACAUCACUAGUUAGGGCCAUUAAGGUGAGGGAAAUCUAACAUUCCAGCAUUUGUUUUAUGGCUGUUGGGCAAAGGUCUCUUCUUCUGGAGCUGCUUCAAGCUGACAAAAGGGCGAAGCACUCCUGUAAGAAAUGCAUGACAAUCAAAAAGACUCCAUUUUAUCCAAAGCUGCAGAAUGGGAAGAAAUGUAGACUGAUGAGUGAACCAAAAUCUCAAGUUACCCUGAAGCUGUUAGCAUGUUUAUUUACUCUGGCCUCCAGUUUUCAUCCCACACGUGUGCUGCUGAGUCAGCCUUCUGAGUCAACUUCAGCUCAGAAGAUUAAUGAACAUUUUUGGAGCCAACAGUAUGUUAUCAAAAUAAAGAAAUUAAUACAGAUUUCCUUUUGUGUGGAUAUUUUUA